AAACAACUCUCAGCAACGGAUAUCUUGGCUCUUGCAACGAUGAAGAACGCAGCGAAAUGCGAUACGUAGUGUGAAUUGCAGAAUUCCGCGAAUCAUCGAGUCUUUGAACGCAAGUUGCGCCCGAGGCUUGUCCAAGGGCAUUUCCGCUAGAGCGUCACCGCGCCCCCC
rnacentral:rRNA from 1 species